rnacentral:rRNA from 1 species
GAUGAACGCUAGCGGCAGGCUUAAUACAUGCAAGUCGUGGGGCAGCAGGUUUGUAGCAAUACAGGUGCUGGCGACCGGCAAACGGGUGCGGAACACGUACGCAACCUUCCUCUUUCUGGAAGAUAGCCCACCGAAAGGUGGAUUAAUAUUCCAUAAUAUAUUGAAAAGGCAUCUUUUUAAUAUUAAAGCUCCGGCGGAAUGAGAUGGGCGUGCGUCUGAUUAGGUAGUUGGCGGGGUAACGGCCCACCAAGCCUGCGAUCAGUAGCUGAUGUGAGAGCAUGAUCAGCCACACGGGCACUGAGACACGGGCCCGACUCCUACGGGAGGCAGCAGUAAGGAAUACUGGUCAAUGGACGCAAGUCUGAACCAGCCAUGCCGCGUGGAGGAUGAAGGUCCUCUGGAUUGUAAACUUCUUUUCUCUGGGACGAAACCCCCGAUUUCCAUCGGGCCUGACGGUACCAGAGGAAUAAGCACCGGCUAACUCCGUGCCAGCAGCCGCCGUAAGAC